rnacentral:rRNA from 1 species
GAUGAACGCUGGCGGCGUGCCUAAUACAUGCAAGUCGAGCGAACGGACGAGAAGCUUGCUUCUCUGAUGUUAGCGGCGGACGGGUGAGUAACACGUGGAUAACCUACCUAUAAGACUGGGAUAACUUCGGGAAACCGGAGCUAAUACCGGAUGAUAUUUUGAACCGCAUGGUUCAAAAGUGAAAGACGGUCUUGCUGUCACUUAUAGAUGGAUCCGCGCUGCAUUAGCUAGUUGGUAAGGUAACGGCUUACCAAGGCAACGAUGCAUAGCCGACCUGAGAGGCUGAUCGGCCACCCUGGAACUGAGACACGUUCCAGACUCCUACGGGAGGCAGCAGUAGGGAAUCUUCCGCAAUGGGCGAAAGCCUGACGGAGCAACGCCGCGUGAGUGAUGAAGGUCUUCGGAUCGUAAAACUCUGUUAUUAGGGAAGAACAUAUGUGUAAGUAACUGUGCACAUCUUGACGGUACCUAAUCAGAAAGCCACGGCUAACUACGUG